rnacentral:rRNA from 1 species
UGACAGAACUGUGGGGACACGUAAGGAGAGCGGGAGCCGGGAAUGGAAAGCCCGGUACAAGCGAGGUACCAGUCACAUAGGAAAAUCCGUGUGGCAAUGGGAAGACGUGAUGUGGAGCGAAGAUUAGUAGCGAAGCCCGUGAGCCACGCGUCAAGAAAAGCCGCUAUCGUUCAUAUUGUACCCGUACCGUAAACCGACACAGGUGGAUGAGGAGAGAAUCCUAAGGCCGGCGGAAGAAGUAUUGCCAAGGAACUCGGCAAAAUGGCCCCGUAACUUAGGGAGAAGGGGUGCCUGCGAGAGCAGGCCGCAGAGAAUAGGCUCAAGCAACUGUUUAGCAAAAACACAGGUCUAUGCGAAACCGAAAGGUGAGGUAUAUGGGCUGACGCCUGCCCGGUGCUGGAAGGUUAAGAGGAGAGGUUAGACGUAAGUCGAAGCUUUGAAUCUAAGCCCCAGUAAACGGCGGCCGUAACGAUAACGGUCCUAAGGUAGCGAAAUUCCUUGUCGGGUAAGUUCCGACCCGCACGAAAGGCGUAAUGAUUUGAGCGCUGUCUCGGCAAUACAUCCGGUGAAAUUGAAGUGCCAGUGAAGAUGCUGGCUACCCGCGCCAGGACGGAAAGACCCCAUGGAGCUUUACUCCAGUUUGGCACUGGGGUCCGGUGUUGCAUGUACAGGAUAGGUGGGAGGCUGAGAAACGGUAACGUCAGUUGCCGCGGAGCCGCUGUUGGGAUACCACCCUUGUGAUAUUGGGCUUCUAACCAGCCGCCGUAAACCGGCGGUGGGACAAUGCCAGGCGGGGAGUUUGACUGGGGCGGUCGCCUCCGAAAGGGUAUCGGAGGCGCCCAAAGGUUCCCUCAGAAUGGACGGAAACCAUUCGAAGAGUGCAAAGGCAGAAGGGAGCUUGACUGCGACACCGACGGGUGGAGCAGGUACGAAAGUAGGGCUUAGUGAUCCGGUGGUAUUAAGUGGGAAUGCCAUCGCUCAACGGAUAAAAGCUACCCUGGGAUAACAGGCUUAUCACUCCCAAGAGUUCACAUCGACGGAGUGGUUUGGCACCUCGAUGUCGGCUCAUCGCAUCCUGGGGCUGUAGUAGGUCCCAAGGGUUGGGCUGUUCGCCCAUUAAAGCGGUACGCGAGCUGGGUUCAGAACGUCGUGAGACAGUUCGGUCCCUAUCCGGCGUGGGCGCAGGAUAUCUGAGAGGAGCUGUCCUUAGUACGAGAGGACCGGGAUGGACGGACCGCUGGUGGACCGGUUGGCUUGCCAAAGCCAUGGCCGGGUAGCCAAGUCCGGAAGGGAUAAACGCUGAAGGCAUCUAAGCGUGAAGCCCCCCUCAAGAUGAGAUAUCCCAUUCUUAUGAAGUAAACCCCCUUGAAGACGACGAGGUAGAUAGGGCAGAGGUGGAAGUGUGGUAACACAUGGAGCUGACUGUUACUAAUCGGGUGAGGGCUUGAUC